ACGUUCACUUUGAACAAAUUAGAGUGCUUAAAGCAGGCUGAAAUAUCUGCCUGAAUAGUGGUGCAUGGAAUGAUAAAACAGGACCUCGGUUCUAUUUUGUUGGUUUUAGGAAUAUGAGGUAAUGAUCAAUGUGGACUGGCGGGGG
rnacentral:ncRNA from 1 species